CCGAGUUAGGGUCUUCUAGGCCCGACCUCCCAACCCUUUGUUUACCGAACCACUGUUGCUUCGGCGGGCCCGUCUCACGACCGCUGGAGGAUCGUCGAAAGACGUGUCCUCUGGCCCGCGUCCGCCGAUAGCCAACCACUUUAAAACUCUGAAUGAAUCGUGUCUUAUGUCUGAGUCGAUGAUUAAAUUAAAAAGCA
rnacentral:misc_RNA from 1 species